GGGAUCUAGGAUGUUGAGUGUUUAAGAAAUGGCAAGACCCAGGGUAGGAAGAACUUGGGCGAAGCACCCGUUUUGCACCGACCAGCACUCUCGCUUUUCAGACGGAAUCAGCUUUUUGCCUUUGGCCACCUGGAUUAGAGGCAGAUCCCUUCAUAGGAAACAGAAUCCAGUACAGCAUUGGAGGCUGGGCUGUAUUUAGGCUCCAGCCCAUGUUGACUUCAGGUGCCUCACUUUUCUCUGUGAGAUUCCCUUUUAUAUCCUCCAGACAACUGGCUGCCUUGGCUGAUUAGUUCCAUCAGAAUGGAGAAGCAAAACUUAGAUCCUGGAGUUUUCCUGUUGGUGAUGUGGAAAUGCUGGUGUUGAUAUUAAUGCUCAAGCAUUUUUUAUACCUUUUCCAGAGAUUUCCCCAAUACUCCCUUCCAGUGUAUCCCCCUC
ensembl:lncRNA